GACGAACGCUGGCGGCGUGCCUAAUACAUGCAAGUUGAGCGCUGAAGGAUGGUACUUGUACCAAUUGGAUGAGCAGCGAACGGGUGAGUAACGCGUGGGGAAUCUGCUUUUGAUCGGGGGACAACAUUUGGAAACGAAUGCUAAUACUGCAUAAAAACUUUAAACACAAGUUUUAAGUUUGAAAGAUGCAAUUGCAUCACUCAAAGAUGAUCCCGCGUUGUAUUAGCUAGUUGGUGAGGUAAAGGCCCACCAAGGCGAUGAUACAUAGCCGACCUGAGAGGGAGAAUGGCCACAUUGGGACUGAGACACGGCCCAAGCUCCUACGGGGGGCAGCAGUAGGGAAUCUUCGGCCAUGGAGGGCAGUCUGACCGAGCACCGCCGGGGGAGUGAAGAAAGUUUUCGGAUCGUAAAACUCUGUUUGUAGAGAAGAACAUUGGUGAGAGUGGAAAGCUCAUCAAGUGACGGUAACUACCCAGAAAGGGACGGCUAACUACGUG
rnacentral:rRNA from 1 species